rnacentral:rRNA from 1 species
GACGAACGCUGGCGGCGUGCUUAACACAUGCAAGUCGAACGGAAAGGCCCUGCUUGCAGGGUACUCGAGUGGCGAACGGGUGAGUAACACGUGGGUGAUCUGCCCUGCACUUCGGGAUAAGCCUGGGAAACUGGGUCUAAUACCGGAUAGGAGCCAUUUUUAGUGUGAUGGUUGGAAAGUUUUUUCGGUGUAGGAUGAGCUCGCGGCCUAUCAGCUUGUUGGUGGGGUAAUGGCCUACCAAGGCGGCGACGGGUAGCCGGCCUGAGAGGGUGGACGGCCACAGUGGGACUGAGACACGGCCCAGACUCCGACGGGAGGCAGCAGUGGGGAAGAUUGCACAAUGGGCGCAAGCCUGAUGCAGCGACGCCGCGGGGGGGAGGACGGCCUUCGGGUUGUAAUCUCCUUUCGCUAGGGACGAAGCUUUUUGUGACGGUACCUAGAGAAGAAGCACCGGCUAACUACGUG